AGAAAUGCUUUGCUUAUGGUGAAUGAAGAAGGUGGUUCCAGUCUCACAGCCCUCGGCAAGUAUGUCCGCCCACACAGGGAGAAGCUGGGAGGGAGCAGGCUGGAUUUGAGAGGACACAGGCAAGAAUCACACAGGAGAAAAUCAGUCAUCACUUUGACCAGCAUCACCCCACUCUAUGACUCCCUAAAACUCCAGACCUGAGAAGCACAUCUACUCUUAUCAUGAUGGAGAAGCAGCUUGGCUUGAAGUGAUGUCAAGAGAGAAGACCUGAGAGCCCAGAGAGCUUGUCUGUCUUGUUCCCUGUUUAUCCAUGAUGAUGGAGGAGGACCUGGAGCACACUAAACACUAGGCAAGAACACACUCAGGACAACCGGAAUCUUCUGCAGCAAAGCUUUUAUUGCUUACCUAUCAGGAGGGAAGACCCCGAACCGGGAAAAUGGCACUGCUUAUAUAGCCCGCAACAUGACAUUUCAGCACCUGAUGUGGCGUUACAGCUCCUGAUUCGUUGCUCGCCCAUCACCCCAUUACUACACCGCGAGAUGGGCAGUGACUAGGCCACCCAUAUCUUCAACCUGUCUUGACCUAGGAUGAGCAACGACCUAGAACUCUGCAUCUUGAACUGGUAACCCAAAGUUGUUCAAACAAAGGACCUUUACUCUUCUUAACCAGCUCUAGACAUUUCUCAUCAAUGGAAUCAGCUAACCAAAUUUAAAUAGUUAAAAUUGUUUUGUUGCUUUGUUUUGUUCCUGAGGAGCCUUUUUUGUAAAGGAAAAUACGUACCAUAAAAUUUGCCAUCUUG
rnacentral:lncRNA from 1 species